rnacentral:tRNA from 1 species
GUUGGGCAAUGGAUAGCGCGUUGGACUUCUAAUCCAAAGGUCGUGGGUUCGAAUGUCAUUUCU